UACGUAGGGUGCAAGCGUUGUCCGGAAUUAUUGGGCGUAAAGAGCUCGUAGGCGGUUCGUCGCGUCGGCUGUGAAAUCCCGAGGCUCAACCUCGGGUCUGCAGUCGAUACGGGCGGACUGGAGUACUGCAGGGGAGACUGGAAUUCCCGGUGUAGCGGUGAAAUGCGCAGAUAUCAGGAGGAACACCGGUGGCGAAGGCGGGUCUCUGGGCAGUUACUGACGCUGAGGAGCGAAAGCGUGGGGAGCGAACAGG
rnacentral:rRNA from 1 species